rnacentral:rRNA from 1 species
AAGAGACAGCAGUAGCCACGGUAAUACGGAGGGUGCAAGCGUUAUCCGGAUUUAUUGGGUUUAAAGGGUCCGUAGGCGGAUCUGUAAGUCAGUGGUGAAAUCUCACAGCUUAACUGUGAAACUGCCAUUGAUACUGCAGGUCUUGAGUAAAUUUGAAGUGGCUGGAAUAAGUAGUGUAGCGGUGAAAUGCAUAGAUAUUACUUAGAACACCAAUUGCGAAGGCAGGUCACUAAGAUUUAACUGACGCUGAUGGACGAAAGCGUGGGGAGCGAACAGGAUUAGAUACCCCAGUAGUCCCUGUCUCUUAUAC